rnacentral:rRNA from 1 species
AACGAACGCUGGCGGCAUGCCUAACACAUGCAAGUCGAACGAGACCUUCGGGUCUAGUGGCGCACGGGUGCGUAACGCGUGGGAACCUGCCCUUAGGUUCGGAAUAACUCCCCGAAAGGGGUGCUAAUACCGGAUAAUGUCUUCGGACCAAAGAUUUAUCGCCUUUGGAUGGGCCCGCGUUGGAUUAGCUAGUUGGUAGGGUAAAAGCCUACCAAGGCGACGAUCCAUAGCUGGUCUGAGAGGAUGAUCAGCCACACUGGGACUGAGACACGGCCCAGACUCCUACGGGAGGCAGCAGUGGGGAAUAUUGGACAAUGGGCGAGAGCCUGAUCCAGCAAUGCCGCGUGAGUGAUGAAGGCCUUAGGGUUGUAAAGCUCUUUUACCCGGGAUGAUAAGGACAGUACCGGGAGAAUAAGCUCCGGCUAACUCCGU